GGUAGGUGGCUCAGUGGUAGAGUGCUUGCCUUGCAUGCAUGAGGCCCUGGGUUUGAUUCCUCAGUACCA
rnacentral:tRNA from 1 species